rnacentral:rRNA from 1 species
UACGUAGGAGGCAAGCGUUGUCCGGAAUUACUGGGCGUAAAGCGCGUGCAGGUGGUGGGACAAGUCUGCUGUGAAAGCGCCUGGCUUAACCGGGCGAGGUCGGCGGAAACUGUCCGACUCGAGGACGGUAGAGGGGGGUGGAAUUCCCGGUGUAGUGGUGAAAUGCGUAGAUAUCUGGAGGAAUACCGGUGGCGAAGGCGGCAUCCUGGACCGAGAUUGACGCUGAGGAGCGAAAGCUAGGGGAGCAAACGGG